GCUGACGUAGCUCCAAUGGCAGAGCAUCGGUUUUGUAAGCCGAAUGUUGUCAGUUCAAUCCUGACCGUCAGCU
rnacentral:tRNA from 1 species